CGAACGCUGGCGGCGUGCUUAACACAUGCAAGUCGAGCGGUAAGGCCCUUUCGGGGGUACACGAGCGGCGAACGGGUGAGUAACACGUGGGUGACCUGCCCUCAGCUCUGGGAUAAGCCUGGGAAACCGGGUCUAAUACCGGAUAUGACUCCAUGACGCAUGUUGUGGGGUGGAAAGCCUUGUGCGGCUGAGGAUGGGCCCGCGGCCUAUCAGCUUGUUGGUGGGGUGAUGGCCUACCAAGGCGACGACGGGUAGCCGGCCUGAGAGGGCGACCGGCCACACUGGGACUGAGACACGGCCCAGACUCCUACGGGAGGCAGCAGUGGGGAAUCUUGCGCAAUGGGCGAAAGCCUGACGCAGCGACGCCGCGUGAGGGAUGACGGCCUCGUGUAAC
rnacentral:rRNA from 1 species